AUACGUAGGGAGCAAGCGUUGUCCGGAUUUACUGGGUGUAAAGGGUGCGUAGGCGGCUUAGCAAGUCAGGCGUGAAAACUAUGGGCUUAACCCAUAGACUGCGUUUGAAACUGUUGAGCUUGAGUGAAGUAGAGGUAGGCGGAAUUCCCGGUGUAGCGGUGAAAUGCGUAGAGAUCGGGAGGAACACCAGUGGCGAAGGCGGCCUACUGGGCUUUAACUGACGCUGAGGCACGAAAGCAUGGGUAGC
rnacentral:rRNA from 1 species